rnacentral:rRNA from 1 species
GAGUUUGAUCCUGACUCAGAACGAACGCUGGCGGCGUGCCUAACACAUGCAAGUCCGACGUGAAAGGGGAGCAAUCCCCCGGUAGGGUGGCAAACGGGUGAGUAAGACAUGGGUGAUCUACCCUGGAGAUGGGGAUAUCCCUCCGAAAGGGGGGGCAAUACCGAAUAGAGUCCGGUUCCGUGAAGGGGACCGGGGAAAGGGAGGCCUCUGGAACAAGCUUCCGCUCCUGGAUGAGCCCAUGGCCCAUCAGCUAGUUGGUAGGGUAAAGGCCUACCAAGGCGACGACGGGUAGCUGGUCUGAGAGGACAACCAGCCACACUGGCACUGAGACACGGGCCAGACUCCUACGGGAGGCAGCAGUGAGGAAUAUUGCGCAAUGGGGGCAACCCUGACGCAGCAACGCCGCGUGUGGGAAGAAGGCUUUCGGGUUGUAAACCACUUUUGCCCGGGACGAAAAGGGGCGUCAGAAUACGGCGCUUCGAUGACGGUACCGGGAGAAUAAGCCACGGCUAACUCUGUGCCAGCAGCCGCAGUAAGACAGAGGUGGCAAGCGUUGUUCGGAGUUACUGGGCGUAAAGAGUCUGUAGGUGGUUUGUCAAGUCUUUGGUGAAAGGCCGUGGCUUAACCAUGGGAAUGCCAAAGAGACUGGCAGACUGGAGGCUGGGAGAGGGAAGCGGAAUUUCUGGUGUAGCGGUGAAAUGCGUAGAUAUCAGAAGGAAGGCCGGUGGCGAAGGCGGCUUCCUGGAACAGGCCUGACACUGAGAGACGAAAGCGUGGGGAGCAAA